rnacentral:rRNA from 1 species
AUUGAACGCUGGCGGCAGGCUUAACACAUGCAAGUCGAGCGGAGUGAUGGUGCUUGCACUAUCACUUAGCGGCGGACGGGUGAGUAAUGCUUAGGAAUCUGCCAUUUAGUGGGGGACAACAUUCCGAAAGGAAUGCUAAUACCGCAUACGUCCUACGGGAGAAACCAGGGGAUCUUCGGACCUUGCGCUAAAUGAUGAGCCUAAGUCGGAUUAGCUAGUUGGUGGGGUAAAGGCCUACCAAGGCGACGAUCUGUAGCGGGUCUGAGAGGAUGAUCCGCCACACUGGGACUGAGACACGGCCCAGACUCCUACGGGAGGCAGCAGUGGGGAAUAUUGGACAAUGGGCGGAAGCCUGAUCCAGCCAUGCCGCGUGUGUGAAGAGGGCCUUUUGGUUGUAAAGCACUUUAAGCGAGGAGGAGGCUACUAGUACUAAUACUACUGGAUAGUGGACGUUACUCGCAGAAUAAGCACCGGCUAACUCUGUGCCAGCCGCCGCCGUAACAC